GCCAUGCCGCGUGCGGGAAGAAGGCCUUCGGGUUGUAAACCGCUUUUGUCAGGGAAGAAAAGGUUCUGGAUAAUACCUGGGACUCAUGACGGUACCUGAAGAAUAAGCACCGGCUAACUACGUGCCAGCAGCCGCGGUAAUACGUAGGGUGCAAGCGUUAAUCGGAAUUACUGGGCGUAAAGCGUGCGCAGGCGGUUAUGCAAGACAGAGGUGAAAUCCCCGGGCUCAACCUGGGAACUGCCUUUGUGACUGCAUAGCUAGAGUACGGUAGAGGGGGAUGGAAUUCCGCGUGUAGCAGUGAAAUGCGUAGAUAUGCGGAGGAACACCGAUGGCGAAGGCAAUCCCCUGGACCUGUACUGACGCUCAUGCACGAAAGCGUGGGGAGCAAACAGGAUUAGAUACCCUGGUAGUCCACGCCCUAAACGAUGUCAACUGGUUGUUGGGAGGGUUUCUUCUCAGUAACGAAGCUAACGC
rnacentral:rRNA from 1 species